rnacentral:lncRNA from 1 species
GCUCCGAGUGCGGGCCCGCCUAGCCCAGCGCCCACCCGGAACCGGCGCCGGCCCGUGAGCACCGCGUGCAGCACCGGCUCCCGCCCGCGCCUUUCUCUCCACACCUCCCUGCGAGGAGAGGGAGCCGGCUGCGGCCUCGGCCAGUCCCAUAGUGGGACCCCUCCAGCGCAGCGGACGGCUGAAGGGGUCCUUGAGCGCGGCCACUGCUUGAGCGCGGCCAGAGUGGACGCCGAGGCCGAGGAGGCGCGGAGAGAGAGCGAGGACUGCUAAUCUCCUCCGGGAGUGGUGGGCAGCUACUGUGAAAGGCCUGGUUCAAAAACCUCACAGCGGUUGUUUUCAGAGUUGUCCCUCCUGUGUACUCUCAAAGCCCCAGAAUGAAGCAAAGCAUCCUCCCUUUUCAAACUGGCACUCUUCCCCAACCUUGAGGACCACUAGGCACUUUGUUUUUAAAGCCACAGUUACUUUUAUGGAGAAGUAUUGUUAUGAAAAAAGGGAGGCAUCUGAGGAGUGGAAACAGAGAAAUGAGUGACUGAGAUCAGUGUCUUAUUUUGACCAUCUUUUCCAAGUGCUGCAUCCUCCCAAACACAACAUGAACUCAACACUUAAUAAAGCUGCAGUCCUACGUGUUUUAUUUGUGUAAGAAACUAAGUCCAAAACAUUCUGCAACGCGAGUAAAAAUUCACUUCUGCAAUAUAUUAAACACACAUGAACACAG